UCGUGAGACAGUUCGGUCCUCAUCUGUCGUGGGCGCAGGAGAUUUGAGGGGAGCUGGCCCUAGUACGAGAGGACCGGGCUGGACGAACCUCUGAUGUACGAGUUGUUCCGCCUCGGGGCAUUGCUCGGUAGUCACGUUCGGACGGGAUAAGCGCUGAAAGCAUCUAAGCGCGAAGCCCCACCCAAGAUGAGAUCUCCCGGAUCAUCAGAUCCCUGAAGGCCCCUGGAAGACCACCAGGUUGAUAGGCCCGGAGUGUAAGGCGAGUAAUCGUCUCAGCUGACGGGUACUAAUCGGCCGUGAGGCUUGACCACAU
rnacentral:rRNA from 1 species